rnacentral:rRNA from 1 species
GCGAAGAAGGACGUGGCUACCGGCGAAACGUUUCGGGGAGUUGGAAGUAAGCUUUGAUCCGAAAGUAUCCGAAUGAGGAAACUCAAUAACUUCUUACUGAAUCUAUAAGUAAAGAAAGAGCAAACCUAGGGAAUUGAAACAUCUUAGUACCUAGAGGAAAAAAAAGUAAAAACGAUUCCCUGAGUAGUGGCGAACGAAAUGGGAAUAGCCUAAACUUUCAAAAUUUUUAUUGAAAGGGUUGUGGGAUAUUAAAUGAUGAAAAACGUAAGUUAAAUUCAGCAUAAGAAAUUAGGUGAAAUAAUUGGAAAAUUAUACGAUACAAAGUGAUAGUCUUGUAACCGAAAAUUUCUUUUUAAUUAAUAAAUCCCGAGUAGCAUGGGGCACGUGGAAUCCCGUGUGAAUCUGCGAGGACCACCUCGUAAGGCUAAAUAUUCCUGGAUGUCCGAUAGCGUAUAGUACCGCGAGGGAAAGGUGAAAAGAACCCCGGGAGGGGAGUGAAAUAGAACGUGAAAUUGCAAGCCCACAAACAGAAGGAGGACGACUUAGCGUUUAACUUCGUGCCUGUUGAAGAAUGUUCCGGCGAGUUAAAGUUAGUGGCAGGUUAAGAUAGAGAUAUCGGAGCCAGAGUGAAAGCGAGCUUGAAUAGAGCGUUUGUCACUAAUUUUAGACCCGAACCCGGUUGAUCUAACCAUGGCCAGGAUGAAACUUUGGUAAUACUAAGUGGAGGUCCGAACCGACUGAUGUUGAAAAAUCAGCGGAUGAGUUGUGGUUAGCGGUGAAAUGCCAAUCGAAACCGGAGCUAGCUGGUUCUCCCCGAAAUGUAUUUAGGUGCAGCGAUUAAUGUUUUAACAUAGGGGUAAAGCACUGUUUCGGUGCGGGCUAGUAACUUGGUACCAAAUCGAGGCAAACUCUGAAUACUAUGUGUAUAAUUAAUCAGUAAGACUAUGGGGGAUAAGCUUCAUAGUCAAGAGGGAAACAGCCCAGAUCACCAGCUAAGGCCCCUAAAUAAUUGCUAAGUGAUAAAGGAAGUGGAAAGGCUUAGACAACCAGGAGGUUUGCUUAGAAGCAGCAAUCCUUUAAAAAGUGCGUAAUAGCUUACUGGUCUAGCAAUUCUGCGCCGAAAACUUACGGGACUAAGCAAUUUGCCGAAGCUGUGAGAUAAUUAAGAAAUUAUCGGUAGGGGAGCGUUCUGUAUUAGAUUGAAGUGUUAGCGUAAGCGGGCAUGGACGAAACAGAAGUGAGAAUGUCGGAUUGAGUAGCGAAAACAUUGGUGAGAAUCCAAUGCUCCGAAAACCUAAGGUUUCCUCCGCAAGGCUCGUCCACGGAGGGUGAGUCAGGUCCUAAGGUGAGGCUGAAAAGCGUAAUCGAUGGAUAAUAGGUUAAUAUUCCUAUACUAAUUUUUAUUUGUAUCGAGGGACGAAGAAGGCUAAACUAGCCAGAUAUUGGUUACUGGUUUAAAUUAUCGAGGUGUUGAGGAUUAGAGAAAAUAAUCUGAGCUAAGAAAUGAAUACAAGAUUUAUAAAAUCAAAGUAGUUGAUGUCAUACUUCCAAGAAAAGCUCGCAAUGCGUUAAAUAAAAAUUACCUGUACCUUAAACCGACACAGGUAGGUAGGUAGAGAAUACCAAGGAGCGCGGGAGAACCCUCCUUAAGGAACUCGGCAAAAUAACUCUGUAACUUCGGAAGAAAGAGUGCCUUUUAGGCUGCAAUAUCAAGUUCCAAGCAACUGUUUAGCAAAAACACAGGUCUCCGCUAAGUUGUAAAACGAUGUAUGGGGGCUGACGCCUGCCCAGUGCUGGAAGGUUAAAGAAGUUGGUUUUUAAGCUAAUAACUGAAGCCCCAGUGAACGGCGGCCGUAACUAUAACGGUCCUAAGGUAGCGAAAUUCCUUGUCGGGUAAGUUCCGACCCGCACGAAUGGCGUAAUGAUUUGGAAGCUGUCUCAAGGAGGGACUCGGUGAAAUAGAACUAUCUGUGAAGAUGCGGAUUACCUGCGCCUGGACAGUAAGACCCUAUGAAGCUUUACUGUAUCCUGAUAUUGGAUUUCGAUUUUCUUUGCGCAGAAUAGGUGGGAGACGGAGAUGUUAUUUUUUUGGAAAUAACUGAGUCAUUAGUGAGAUACCACUCUGAGAAAAUUAAAAUUCUAACUUCAUACCGUAAUCCGGUUGAAAGACAGUAUCUGGUGGGCAGUUUGACUGGGGCGGUCGACUCCUAAAAGGUAACGGAGUCGUACAAAGGUUUCCUCAGAUCGGUCAGAAAUCGAUCGUAGAGUGCAAAGGCAAAAGGAAGCUUAACUGUGAGACAAACAAGUCGAGCAGAGACGAAAGUCGGUCUUAGUGAUCUGACGAUGCUGUGUGGAAAGGUCGUCACUCAACGGAUAAAAGUUACUCUAGGGAUAACAGGCUGAUCUUCUCCAAGAGUUCCUAUCGACGAGAAGGUUUGGCACCUCGAUGUCGGCUCGUCGCAUCCUGGGGCGGUAGUACGUCCCAAGGGUUGGGCUGUUCGCCCAUUAAAGCGGCACGUGAGCUGGGUUCAGAACGUUGUGAAACAGUUCGGUCCAUAUCCGGCGUGGGCGUUAGAGUAUUGAGAGUGACCUUUCUCUAGUACGAGAGGACCGAGAAAGAUAUACCUCUAGUGUACCAGUUAUUGUGCCAACGGUAAACGCUGGGUAGCUAUGUAUAGUUAAGAUAACCGCUGAAAGCAUCU